rnacentral:rRNA from 1 species
AGGCGAAACCGCGAAUGGCUCAUUAAAUCAGUUAUGGUUCCUUAGAUUGUUUCUACCUACUUGGAUAACUGUGGCAAUUCUAGAGCUAAUACAUGCAGUGAGCCCGAAGCCGUUAGGUGACGGGUGCUUUUAUUAGACCAAGAUCAAACGGGCCUCGGUCCGUGUGUGUGGUGACUCUGGAUAACUUUGGCUGAUCGCUAAGGCCACGAGCCGGCGACAAUUCUUUCAAGUGUCUGCCUUAUCAACUGUCGAUGGUAGGUUAUGCGCCUACCAUGGUCGUUACGGGUAACGGAGAAUCAGGGUUCGAUUCCGGAGAGGGAGCCUGAGAAACGGCUACCACAUCCAAGGAAGGCAGCAGGCGCGCAAAUUACCCACUCCCGGCACGGGGAGGUAGUGACGAAAAAUAACAAUACGGGACUCUUUUGAGGCCCCGUAAUUGAAAUGAGUACACUCUAAAUCCUUUAACGAGGAUCAAUUGGAGGGCAAGUCUGGUGCCAGCAGCCGCGGUAAUUCCAGCUCCAAUAGCGUAUACUAAAGUUGCUGCGGUUAAAAAGCUCGUAGUUGGAUCUCAGUUCCAGGCGGGUUGUGCAUCCACUCGAUGUUUACGACCCGCACUGAACAUCUUACCCGCUGUCUCUUGGUGCCCUUCAUUGGUGUGCCUCGAGGUGGCCGGUGCAUUUACUUUGAAAAAAUUAGAGUGCUCAACGCAGGCGAACGUCCUGAAUAACAGUGCAUGGAAUAAUAGAACAAGACCUUGUUUCUGUUCUGUUGGUUUUUGGAAAACGAGGUAAUGAUUAAGAGGGACGGACGGGGGCAUUCGUAUUGCGGCGCUAGAGGUGAAAUUCUUGGACCGUCGCAAGACGAACUACUGCGAAAGCAUUUGCCAAGAAUGUUUUCAUUGAUCAAGAACGAAAGUCAGAGGUUCGAAGGCGAUCAGAUACCGCCCUAGUUCUGACCAUAAACGAUGCCAACUAGCGAUCCGCCUGAGUUACUCAAAUGACUCGGCGGGCAGCUUCCGGGAAACCAAAGUAUUUGGGUUCCGGGGGAAGUAUGGUUGCAAAGCUGAAACUUAAAGGAAUUGACGGAAGGGCACCACCAGGAGUGGAGCCUGCGGCUUAAUUUGACUCAACACGGGAAAUCUCACCCGGCCCGGACACUGGAAGGAUUGACAGAUUGAGAGCUCUUUCUUGAUUCGGUGGAUGGUGGUGCAUGGCCGUUCUUAGUUGGUGGAGCGAUUUGUCUGGUUAAUUCCGAUAACGAACGAGACUCUAGCCUAUUAAAUAGGUGCGAGGUUCUCUGCACCUUACAACCUUCUUAGAGGGACAAGCGGCUUCUAGCCGCACGAAACAGAGCAAUAACAGGUCUGUGAUGCCCUUAGAUGUCCGGGGCCGCACGCGCGCUACACUGAAGGAAGCAGCGUGUAUUUGCCCCUGUCUGCAAAGACUGGGUAACCCGUGGAACCUCCUUCGUGAUUGGGAUAGGGGCUUGAAAUUGUUCCCCUUGAACGAGGAAUUCCCAGUAAGCGCGAGUCAUAAGCUCGCGUUGAUUACGUCCCUGCCCUUUGUACACACCG